AACCAUAGAAACCUGCGGAGUACCUGCGGAAGGAUCAUUACCGAGUUUACAACUCCCAAACCCCUGUGAACAUACCAAUUGUUGCCUCGGCGGAUCAGCCCGCUCCCGGUAAAACGGGACGGCCCGCCAGAGGACCCCUAAACUCUGUUUCUAUAUGUAACUCCUGAGUAAAACCAUAAAUAAAUCAAAACUUUUAACAACGGAUCU
rnacentral:misc_RNA from 1 species